rnacentral:tRNA from 1 species
GCCUGGGUGGCUCAGUCGGUUAAGCUUCUGACUUCAGCUCAGAUCAUGAUCUCACAGUUCGUGAGUUCGAGCCCCACAUCAGGCU